rnacentral:sRNA from 1 species
GCUGGGUGAGGUGGCACAGCUUGUAAUUCCAACACUCAGGAAGCUGAGAUGGGAUGAUUGCUUGAGCCCAGGAAUUCCAGACCAGCUACCUGGGCAACACAGUGAGACCCCAUCUCAA